rnacentral:rRNA from 1 species
CCGUCAGCCGCGGUAAUUCCAGCUCCAAUAGCGUAUAUUAAAGUUGUUGCAGUUAAAAAGCUCGUAGUUGAAUUUCGGGAUUGACUCGAUGGUCGUGCCUUAAGGGGUAUGGAUGUCGUUGUUGAUUUCUCACCUUCUGGAGAAGCUCGAUGUCCAUAAUUGGAUGUCGUGUGGAACUC